CCUACGGGUGGCAGCAGUAGGGAAUAUUGCUCAAUGGGGGAAACCCUGAAGCAGCAACGCCGCGUGGAGGAUGAAGGCUCUAGGAUUGUUAACCCCUUUUGUUAGAGAAGAUUAUGCCGGUAUCUAAAGAAUAAGCACAGGCUAACUCCGUGACAGCAGCCGCGGCAAUACGGAGGGUGCAAGCGUUACUCGGAAUCACUGGGCGUAAAGAGUGCGUAGGCGGGGUAAUAAGUCAGAUGUGAAAUCCUGUAGCUUAACUACAGAACUGCAUUUGAAACUGUUAGUCUAGAGUGUGGGAGAGGUAGGUGGAAUGCUUGGUGUAGGGGUGAAAUCCUUAGAGAUCAAGAAGAAUACUCAUUGCGAAGGCGGCCUGCUGGAACAUUACUGACGCUGAGGCACGAAAGCGUGGGGAGCAAACAGGAUUAGAUACCCCUGUAGUC
rnacentral:rRNA from 1 species